ACUUUUCUCAGUUGUAUUGCCAUUGCUCUUUUGUCGAAGAUAAGUUGACUAUUCAUUUGAAUCUAUCUCUGGACUCUCUGUUCUGGUUCAUUGAUAUAUGUAUCUGUUUUUUCACUAGUUCCAUGCUGUCUUGAUUACUGUAGCUUUGUAGUAAGUCUUCAAGUUGGCUAACAUCAGUUCUCCAAUUUUCCUCUUUUCUUUCAAUAUUGUGUUGACUGUUAAAAGUUUUUCCCUCUCCAUAAACAUUCUAGAAUUUAUUGGUAUCAGCAUAAUAACAUGAUGAUAUUUUGAUUGGGAUUGCUUUGAAUCUAUAGAUCAGGUCGGGAAGAAUUGACACAUGGGCAAUAUUGAAUCUUCUUGUUUAUGAACCCUGGAUAUUUCCCUAUUUAUUUAGUUCUUUGAUUUCUUUUGUCAUUCCCUCAUAUAGAUCUUAUACAUAUUUUGUUAGAUACACCUACUUCAUUUAUGGAGCUGUUAGUGAAAAUAGUGUUGUGUUUUUCAUUUCAGAUUCCAUUUGUUCAUUCCUGGUUGUUGGAAAGCAAAUGGCUUUUAAAUAUUAACCUUGUAUCCUGCAAACUUGCUAUAACCGCUAAUUAGUUCCAGGAGUGUUUUGUCAAUUCUUGCAGAUUUUCUACAUAGAUGAUCAUGUCAUCUGUGAAAAACUCAGUUUUAUUUCCUUCUUCCCAGCCUGUAUACCUUUUAUUUCAUUUCUUGUCUCAUUGCAGUAACUGUGACUUGCAGGACAAUGGAAAGCAGUGGAGAGAGAGGAGAAUUCCUUGCCUUGUUCCUGAUCUUAGAGGAAAAGCUUCCAGUUUUUCACCAUAAGAGGAAAGAAGAGGGGGAUUUGCAUGGAGGAGAGAUGCAGAGAAGAUGGCCAUGGGAAGAAAGGGGCAGAGGAUGGCGUGGGACAGCUAAACACCCGAGAGCACCAAGGACUGAGGGACUCCAGGAGCUUGGAAGAGCCCCUGCAGGUGUGUGGCCCCAAGGAUCCUGAGAUUUCAGUCUUCUGGCCUCCAAAAUGAAGGCAAUUCAACCUGAAGGAAGCAGGAUAGAGAAUGAUGGAGUGGAGUCAUCUGGGCUGGCAUUUUCCCUGGGCAGAAGAGGUACCUCACUUUUUCUGAUCCUUCUCCCCAAGGCUAAGAUACCUUGACCAACUUCUUCAUCAAUUGAAAGGCUGAGAAUGGCCUGUCCAGGUGACCGGGGCUGGUGACAUUCACCGUUGUGAGCAUCCUCAAUGACAGCAUCCUCUGUAAAGGAGAUCCAUCCUGUGGUCCUGAAGAGGUGACUUGUGACCAUUAACAGCUGUUGCUGUCGAUUCUGUGCAGACAUUUCUGAAGUCCCUGGAUAAGUCAGGUAGAGCUGAUCAUUCCUGAUCAUUCCUGACAAACUGGCUGUGAAGCAGGAGAGAAGAAAAGAAUCAGGGCCGAUGCUUCCCAAGGGUUCCCAGACACCAGUCAUUUCAUAUCAUACAAACAGAACUCAUCACUCUGGAGAUUCCAGGAGUUUUAGGAGCCAUUUACCAGGAACCAGGGACAAAGAACAAAUCAAACAUCUGCUUCCUGGGGAGCUGCAGGAGGCCAUGGAGAUUAAGAGAAUGGAAAUGGAGCUGCCAGCACAACGAAGGAACACAGGUUUGAGGUGGGCUGUGCUAUGUAUGAACUUUCCUAGAAGAGAAGCUGGAGUGUGACCAUGACAUCUGCCAGUGGAAGUGGAGACAGUCACAUCCUCAUUAAGAGGGGGCUCAAACUUCAGUGUGCGUGAGAAUUACUCAGACAGCUUAUUCGGUCACAGAUGGCUGAUUCAGUAGGGCUGAACCAGACUCAGAACACCUGGUCUAUAGGAACCACAGGAGGUUAGAGAAGGGAAGAACCAGCACAGACUCUGGUGGUGGAGAAGUUCAGGUAAGUGUGUGAUUCUGCUGGUUCCUUUGCUUGAGUGUUGGCCUCACUUUAGGUGGGGCUUGGUGGAUCUUUCAGUGACUUCAGAAAGUGAGUGGAAUGAAAUGGAGCCUCAUUUGGUUUGGCAGAAGAUUGGGGUAUUUGGAUAGGUGGUGAUCAGGAUGGGAGAUGUAGACCAGGGAAACCCUGUGAACAAAAUCACCAUACCUGAAAUGAUCUCUGAAUGUCCUGUUCACCCUGUUGGGAAAGCUCAGCUCCAUCCAAUCACACGGGUAAGAUUCAUCUCUCUUCAUUCCAGUCAUAUUAUGACUUCUUUGAAAAAUGUCAGUGGUAAACUCAGAUUGAUGGAAAGACCUGACACAGAUACCCUCCAGGCAAGUCAAAGAAAGGUCACUUCUAGCUUCAUAAUAGCAUCUGUAAACUAUAGUAGAAAUUGAGUGUGAGCCUGGGUAUGAUGUACCCGAACCUCGGGGGGUUGGGCAGUUGUAGAUGACAAAGCCUAAGCUGAUGAGGUCACGUUAAACUUGUAGAAGUUCAAUUCACCUCCACUCCCAGCCUCUGUAAAGAGUGGUUUUGCAUCAAGGCUAGUCCAGGUAUGUGUCAGAGACCAGCUCACCUGAGCCAGGUGCAUACAUCAAUCUGCAGUUGUACAGGCUAUAAUAUGACUGCAGAGGAUGGCACAGUGUAGCCCACUGGGGCCUGACCACCAUCCAGCUCCCAGACCAUCACAGCCUUGUCCACAACCUUCCCUGAUAUUAGAGCUACAAAUACAAAACCAUCACUAACAUCAUGCCUGCAAAUCCUCAGACCAGCUCUAGGGCCCAUCCUGUACCUUCUCUUCUCUUUUCCUUAAUCCAAUAAAAAUCUAGUAAAUCUGUAUGCAGUGCCAAGCACUUAGCUAGAUGCUGUGGAGAUGAAGAUGAAUAAAACUCAAGUUUUCUUCAGUCUACUGGGGAAGACAAAAGGAUAGAUAUGUAGGGGCAGUAAAGAGAAGCACAGAUGAGGUUCAGAGGUGGCCCAGGGUAAAAUUAAUCCUAGUUGAGAUUCCUCCAGAAUGUGGCAAUCUGCUGGAGGAGGCAGUUCAGAGCUUGGCCUUAUAAAAUACCAAGAUCUUACAUGUAGGGCUCAGGGGUCAGACAGUGAUUCAGACCUAGGGAGGCUAUGUGGAAGAGCUCAGGGGUCAGCCAGUGAUUCAGACCUAGGGAGGCUAUGUGGAAGAGCACAGGGGCAUGGAACAGUGUGUUUAAGGAACUAUAAUCAGGAGUGUUAUUAAAUCAUAAGGGCAGUAGGUAUUUGGAGGCGGAGCUGGGAGUGGCCAGGGACACCUUCACCCUCUUAUAAUUUAUCCUCAGCGGGAAAGCCAGAAGUUGUCCUGGUAAAAUGCAAGUAAGAUCAGAUCCUGCUCCACAACCCCCUCCCUCCAGGCAGACGCCCAAGUCUCCCAGGCUCUGCAUGAUCUGCCCCCUUUCCUCUCCCCUCCCGUGUUUUUCCGUUGCACUCAGAAUUACCCAAUCACUUAAUAAUUUCCUUUACUGCUGGUCUCUCUCAUGAAAAUACAUACUCUGAGGACAGAGGUUUCCGAUGUUCUGUUCAUGGCUGUAGCCCAGCUUCUGCAACAGUGCUUGACACAUAGUAGACACCCAAUCAGUAUUUGUCAUCUGAGUGAACACUCAUCUUUGAGGCCAAAUCAAGGAUGUUGCCCUGAAAUCAUUGGAAAGCCAUCAGAGGGUUUUAAGCAGGCAGAAACAUGAGGGAUUUGUGUGUUUGUAGAUCACGCUGAAGGCUUCAUGGUUUCUCUUGACUGGAGUAAGGGGCAAGCCAGGGGCUUGGAAAACAGGUUACUGCAACCAACUGGGAUUUAAGUAAGUGAAAGAGAAGCAAUGACAGUGGAACAGAGAGAAAAGGCUGGCUUUAAAAUAUAUGCCAAAAGUGGACUUGGCAUUCUCGAAGGCUAAUGCUCAGGAUGAGGGAGCAGAAGGAAAAAGUCUGAGAUGACUCUUGGGGCCCUGAAUCGAAAUAGGAAAAGUGGGAGCAGCAGGAGCAGAAUCGAUGCAGUGGGAAACAAGGUGUUAAUAUACUCUUUCCAGGGUCCUGUGUAAGUGAGGAAAGGGCCGCCAUCACCAGUGUUGCAUGGACAUGCUGCCGUGAGAAGGGCGGUCCGUGUAUGCCGGGGAUUAAGUUUCUCAGUUGAAAGUUUCAGUGAAUCCAAGACCAAAUUAAAUGUUUAUUCAUUCACACUUUCAUCAGAAUCGUACCUGUUCAUGACUACAGGUGCUGUGGUUUGGGAGAGAUAUACUCUGCCUAGAAUUCCAUCUAGAAACAGGUACAUAAACAAUGAAAACAAUAAACACAGUCCACCAACUGUUACUGUGGAGGCAUUAAUAACGUGCAAAGGGAGCACAGAGGAUCCUCGCUGAUAUUCAGUGAAUGCUGUUUGAAUGAGUAACUUACUCUUCAGGGGUUGGAGAGGAAAUAAAGUCCCUGAAAAUUAGGAAAAUUGGUGAUGAGGUGGGGUCAGGGAAGGGAGACGGGGCAGAGAUGGAAUUCCAGGGAGAUAAAGGGACAAGAGCGAAGGCAAAUCCUUUGAUACUGACUGAGUGCAAGACAUGGUUGGGGAGGAAAGUGGCUGAAGGUGUCAGGGCCAAGUUGGGAGAGAUUUGAAUGCCAUCAUACUUAAGCUUUGUCCCACAGCUGCACGUAACAAAAUGUUUCAGAGAGGGGGAGUGAUAUGCCACCACCGGCGUUUUGAAGUUGGUUUGGAUAAUAUUGUGAGGACUUUUGCAGGGAGAAGGGACUGAAGGGGCAGAGUGCAAGUGGGGGGUGAUCACAGUGGUCCAGGAUACAGACAGUGAUGCUUGAACAGGUGUUACGAUGUAGAGGAGGGCAUGGAAACGGGAAAUAAUUCAGAAGUGGAACUCAUCAGACUUACAGACUAAUUCAGGCUUUUUUUUGUGUGUGACUUUUUAGGGCUGUACCCAUGGCAUACGGAGGUUCCCAGACUAGGGAUCAAAUUGGAGCUAUAGUCCCCAGCCUAUGCUGCAGCCACAGCAACACCAGAUCCUU